rnacentral:rRNA from 1 species
UCCUCCCUCUUUCUUCGUGCUUAACACAUGCAAGUCGAACGGAAAGGCCCUGCUUUUGUGGGGUGCUCGAGUGGCGAACGGGUGAGUAACACGUGAGUAACCUGCCCUUGACUUUGGGAUAACUUCAGGAAACUGGGGCUAAUACCGGAUAGGAGCUCCUGCUGCAUGGUGGGGGUUGGAAAGUUUCGGCGGUUGGGGAUGGACUCGCGGCUUAUCAGCUUGUUGGUGGGGUAGUGGCUUACCAAGGCUUUGACGGGUAGCCGGCCUGAGCGGGUGACCGGCCACAUUGGGACUGAGAUACGGCCCAGACUCCUACGGGAGGCAGCAGUGGGGAAUAUUGCACAAUGGGCGGAAGCCUGAUGCAGCAACGCCGCGUGCGGGAUGACGGCCUUCGGGUUGUAAACCGCUUUCGCCUGUGACGAAGCGUGAGUGACGGUAAUGGGUAAAGAAGCACCGGCUAACUACGUG